rnacentral:snoRNA from 1 species
UCUCAGUGACGAGCAUCCUUGGACUGAGCAGCCAUGGUUGGUCCUUCAUUUGCACAGUUGAUGUAACAUGUUGUCAAGAUGGGGCUGAGGAGCUUA